AGCAACAAAGCAAUGACAAACAGUUUAGGCAACAGCAACAGUCAGUCAACCAGCCAGCCAGCUAGCCAACCUGCCAACUUUAUACAGUUAUAUUAGGUAGGGUUGCCAUAUUCAACGAUCUGCUAAGCACAUCAGAAGUGAAACAACUCUGGAAUUAGCUCUGAGUGGGACAUUUCAAUCGGGCUAUACCGUUAUAUAUCUAUGUCUAACCCCACUUUGACACUUAAAAAAGAAGAAAAUUCGAAAUUUUGAAAUUCGGUCUAAUCUGCUGGAAAAUGUGGCCAAAACCAUUUUGUAACAUAAAGUUAGAGUCCAUAUGUGCAUGCAGUAGUAGUCCCUCAAGCGUCUUGGUUACUGGUGAGAGAAGGUAGAUCAGUAUGUACGACUCCCCUUUACUCGAGUCCUAUCCAGGCAUCAGUGGCGGGAUCACUCUACCCAUCUUCCAGACAUCGGGUACUGUACGAGUGUUCAAAGACAGAUUGAGCAUUGGCCCUAUAAAACUCCACAAAUGAGUCGACAGGACUGAUGUUAGCCAUCUGCUUUGAAAUCUUGCUAAAGCUGGCCCGGGGGCGGUGGUGAUGUGAGCCAUGACACGAGGUCUUUUUUCGUAACGAAACAAGAGAAAGUAGG